rnacentral:rRNA from 1 species
AUUGAACGCUGGCGGCAGGCCUAACACAUGCAAGUCGAGCGAGCGGCGGACGGGUGAGUAAUGUCUGGGCAACUGCCUGAUGGAGGGGGAUAACUACUGGACACGGUAGCUACUACCGCAUACCAUCAGAUGUGCCCAGAUGGGAUUAGCUAGUGGGUGGGGUAUAGGCUCACCAAGGCGACGAUCCGUACCUGGUCUGAGAGGAUGACCAGUCACACUGGAACUGAGACACGGUCCAGACUCCUACGGGAGGCAGCAGUGGGGAAUAUUGGACAAUGGGCGAAAGCCUGAUGCAGCCAUGCCGCGUGUGUGAAGAAGGUCUUCGGAUUGUAAAGCACUUUAAGUGAGGAGGCGUUCCAGCAGAAAAGCACCGGCUAACUUCGUGCCAGCAGCCGCGGUAAUAC